rnacentral:lncRNA from 1 species
GGAAGAACCAUGCAGGCAAGGUGACAGACAGCAAACAGCAGCAAGAGGAACUGUGAGCUUGAGCUUCAGCUUGGAGCUAACACGGAUAUAUGUCUCAGUUCGUCUCUCUUUCUAACUGUACAGCAAACCAGCUUGGAAGCCAUGAUUAACUUGAAACCACUGUGGAUGGCAGCUCCCAGAUUAAUGUUCAGCACUGAGAAAACUCAGGGCAAGAAG